rnacentral:rRNA from 1 species
UACGAGGGGUGCAAGCGUUAUUCGGAUUUAUUGGGCGUAAAGGGUGUGUAGGUGGUUUUUUAAGUCAUUUAUUAAAUACCUUGGCUUAACCAAGGAAAUGUGAGUGAAACUGGAAGACUAGAGUGUGGAAGAGAGAAGUGGAAUUCUCGGAGUAGCGGUAAAAUGCGUAGAUCUCGAGAGGAACACCGAUGGCGAAGGCAGCUUCUUGGUCCAUUGCUGACACUGAAACACGAAAGCGUGGGGAGCAAACAGG